ACCACUUGCCAACGCCCCCCCAGAAAAACUUUUGGGAAAAUAGUCUUAGUAAGAUCCAACUCAACACAUAGGCGAGCAAAUUUCCCUCGAGAAGCAGCUUUUGUCUUCCUAUUUAUUUGAGCCCUUCUGCCAAUUGAGUCUCCAAUACCUUGAAAAGUAGAAGAUGCAUAGAAUGAUAGUGGCAUCUUUGGCAAGUGAACCCAAGCUGCCACCGAGUCAAUGGUAGCUUCAGAUGAGAUAAACCCUUGAGUCCAACGGCGGAUCGUAAAGUAAUGGUCUCCAAUGACCCAAGGUUUUUUUUUACAUGUUGAUAAUCACUCUUCUUCCCUUUCUCCGAGUUGAGGACAUUCAUUGGCUGCAGUGCCUGUUACAGUUACACGAUCGAACAUCAACAACGGCAGUCACUUCACUAACAACUAGAAUGAUAGCAGAAUGGCUUAAUGAAACUGCCAAGACUAGAGGUAUUGGAAUGACU
rnacentral:lncRNA from 1 species